rnacentral:misc_RNA from 1 species
GGAUGCAGCAUGAUCCAAGUGAAAAUGGGUAACAAGAAGAACAUCAAUAGAUGAAGGAUCAAUUUCAUCAAAAUAUGGUAAGGCAGACAUGCCUGAGUAACCCGGAUGUAUGCCACAAUCAAACAUGAUUGUUUUCCCUUUAAAAGUCAUGAAAACACAGGACCGUCCCACUUCAUUUCCAGCCCCUAAAGGGGUGAUAACCAGUUUAUCUCCGUCUCUAUUAACUCCAGGACUAGGUCUCUUUAACGAAGACUGUGGCUGUCCCGUAGAUGCCAUUUGAAAUCGCAGAGGAACAAUGCAGGUGAAGGAUGGGAGGGAAAAACAAGAAGAAGUUAGGGCUCUUU